rnacentral:lncRNA from 1 species
AAAUGUCAAUUGAUGCUUAUGAUGGUAGACUAGAAACUAUCAAGUCUGUCUGAAAGUAUAAAGUCACCUGUUUUGUCUAUCUCUCAAACCACCAGGCAAACAGAAGCCACUGGACAGUAACAACAAAAAAAGAGAUACUUAAGGAUACAGAGUUCAAUUUUGACAUUUCUCUCCUACUGCGUAGAAAAGACAAUUUCAAAUGAUUUACUCCUUUUGAAUGAGUUAAACUUCUGGAUGUCAACUGUAUAUGAUGAUACUUUCACAUGCCUUACCGCAUAUGAGCCUGUACCAUCCCUGAGAUAUUAAAGAAGGAAUUACUGUCCAUUCCAUUGAUGAGGAAACCGACUCCAGAAAAUGAAAUGAUCUAUCCGAAAUCAUUUAGCUAAUAAAUGAUGGCUUAAAAUUUUCAUUUUCUGACUCAAAGUUCCAGAACUCUUUCUUACUUACACAUUUGAUAGUGAUUAAUUAGGGAAGUAUUGUCAGGUGUUCAAUUUCAGCAACAAGUUAAACUCAAUUACAUGCAAUGGACAAAAUAUCCUAAUUUCAUGCUGCAGAUGCUUUUCCCAAGACUGAACAUUCUUUCCUUGGUGGGUUGGAAAGAUGUGAGUUGUGGUUGCAACUGCCUUUUCUUAGUCAAUGAUGCUGUUUCAAGAAGUAGGGGGAAGGAAACCCUUUUCUAGAGACAAGUAAUCCAUGAAUUUGAUGCUUUUACCUUUUCCUAGUUAGGACUAGUAUAAUUUAAGUAUUAUGGGUGUACUUGGAUUAUAAUAUAGUACAGGGACUCUCAAUUUUAUAGGACUUUAGAAUCAUGAGUGGUGAGGGAGGUUGCUAAGACAGAUUUCGAGGCCUCAUCCCUACAGAGGUGACUUAGUAAGGGCCAAAAUAUUAAAUCAACAACAACAACAACAACAACUCUAGUGCCAUGGAAUAUUAUGAGAAUCACUGGCGUUGUGCAUCUGGCAUUCAGCUUGCCCAAAAACAUCUGUUUUAUGAGAAAAUGCAUUUUAACACAGUAAUGCUAUUUUUAAAUCCCUUCCAUCGCCUUCUAAAACUUAAAUCAAUUUGAGAUUUGCCUCUUAAAAAUAUUAGGUAAUUUCCUUUAUAUUAGAAAUCUUGCUACC